rnacentral:rRNA from 1 species
GAGUUUGAUCAUGGCUCAGGGCAAACGCUGGCGGCGUGCUUCAGGCAUGCAAGUCGAGCGCUCGGCCGGGUGACCUUCGGGUCACUCGGACCCGGGAGCGGCGAACGGGUGCGUGACACGUGGGCAACCUGCCUGUGGUUCGGGGAUACCCCGGGGAAACCCGGGACAAUACCGGAUACGCCCUUUCCGGCGCCUGCCGGGGAGGGGAAAGCCUUCGGGCGACCGCGGAGGGGCCUGCGGCCUAUCAGCUCGUUGGUGGGGUAACGGCCUACCAAGGCGACGACGGGGAGCCGACCUGAGAGGGUGGUCGGCCACACUGGGACUGAGACACGGCCCAGACUCCUACGGGAGGCAGCAGCCGGGAAUCUUGCGCAAUGGCCGCAAGGCUGACGCAGCGACGCCGCGUGGAGGAUGACGGCCUUCGGGUUGUAAACUCCGGUGGAGCGGGAAGAGAACGGACGGUACCGCUCUGGAAAGCCCCGGCGAACUCCGUGCCAGCAGCCGCGGUAAGACGGAGG